UUUAUACUCCCUCCGUCCAGAAUACUUGUCAUCAAAAUGAAUAAAAGGGGAUGUAUCUAGAUGUAUAUUAGUUCUAGAUACAUCCCUUUUUAUCCAUUUUGAUGACAAGUAUUUUCGGACGGAGGGAGUACGAU
rfam:Triticum aestivum genome assembly, contig: Triticum_aestivum_CS42_TGACv1_scaffold_621714_7DS